rnacentral:rRNA from 1 species
CGUCUCUAAGCCAUGGUAGAGACGCAGCGUACGGCUCAGUAACAUGUGGCUAACCUACCCUUAGGACGGAGACACCCCGGGAAACUGGGGCUAAUACCCGGUAGAUUAGGAGGCCUGGAAUGGUUUCUAGUCGAAAAGGCGUUGAAACCAUGCUUUUCGACGUCGCCUAAGGAUGGGGCCGCACCUGAUCAGGUUGUUGGUGGGGUAACGGCUCACCAAGCCUAUAACCGGUACGGGCCGUGAGAGCGGGAGCCCGGAGAUGGGCACUGAGACAAGGGCCCGGGCCCUACGGGGCGCAGCAGUCGCGAAAACUCCGCAAUGCGCGAAAGCGUGACGGGGCUACCCCGAGUGCCGUCCGCUGAGGAUGGCUUUUCCCCGGUGUAAUGAGCCGGGGGAAUAAGGAGAGGGCAAGACUGGUGUCAGCCGCCGCGGUAAUACCAGCUCUCCGAGUGGUAGGGAUGAUUAUUGGGC